rnacentral:lncRNA from 1 species
GAAAGCAAUGAUGUCGAUGGGCAUCCUUGGCCGUAUUGAUUCAUUUAACGAUUUGUUCUAGCUAGGAUACUUUGAUUGAUGACAAUAUAUUCGUGGCGGAAUUCUACCAUAUAUAAAUUCUAUCGUAAGUUCGAGAAAGAUCGGAUAUCGCAAGUAAGCCUGAAGUCUCAACCAGACCUAGAUUGGGUCAAUCUAUCAUCUUUAUAGGCUCACGAUACUUGUAAAGAUCGAAUGGCAACCCAACCGGCCCGAGAACAAGUAUAAAAACAACUGAAGUUAGGAUCAGUUGUUCAAUUUCACUUUUGUUUCAUUCUAGUAAGAUUUACUCUUUCUCGUCUUUGCGAUUUUGAGUUCAUUGAAUUGCAUCUUAGGUUCUACGUUCUGCAAUUUCUGAUGUGAUAAUUUCUUUUCAAUUUUCAGAUAAUUUGUUGUAAUCAUUCUUGAAUUACUUUUUUCCAUUCAAUUUGUUAAAUCCUGGUAAUCUAUUUUUCAAUUCCUGUUGUUCUUGAUUCAAUUUGUUAAUCUGAAUUUGUACCUAAAUCUCUGUCAAUUUCAAUCUUUUCUUCAUAACAAUUCAGUAUUGGAUCAAUUGAAUUCAAUCAAACCAAAUUUUAUGUUCAAAACAAUCCUGUCUCAUAUUGACUUUUUUAAAAUUUGGUGGCCGAAACUCACGACCAAUUCUGGAUCAAAACAAAUUUUCGACGCCAUAAUUAAUUGAUUGUUUGGAUUGAUAUGUUCUUUGCAGAUGUGGUUUAUUGACUUUAGUUAGAUAUUUCCAAAAUUGAUUUCAAUUUUCAACACAUUAAUAUUAUAAAACAAUGAGACUGAAUCUAAAACUUGAUAAGUUCUGACUAAUUCUUAUAAAAUAAUGAAUUAAUAUUCUGAUACU